rfam:Sulfitobacter mediterraneus strain 1FIGIMAR09 PM02_021, whole genome shotgun sequence.
GGGGACCUUCGGGGCCCUAUAACCAUUGCCACCUUUCGGGGUGGCACUACAGCUAAACGGAAGACAGACA